UGGCCAGAUCACGUUGAAAUGUUCCCAUAUGAUCAUCAAAGUUAAGCAACUUUGAGCCCAGUCAGUACCUUAAUGGGUGACUGCUUGGGAAUUCCAGGUGCU